rnacentral:rRNA from 1 species
GAUGAACGCUGGCGGCGCGCCUAAUACAUGCAAGUCGAGCGAUGAGGCCCCUUCGGGGGUACAUCAGCGGCGAACGGGUGAGUAACACGUAGGUGACCUGCCCCGAAGACGGGGAUAACCACUGGAAACGGUGGCUAAUACCCGAUGUGCUCGGCGAUUCGGUUUGUCGAGUAAAGCUCCGGCGCUUCGGGAUGGACCUGCGGCCUAUCAGCUAGUUGGUAGGGUAACGGCCUACCAAGGCGAAGACGGGUAGGGGGCGUGAGAGCGUGGUCCCCCACACUGGCACUGAGACACGGGCCAGACUCCUACGGGAGGCAGCAGUCGGGGAUAUUGCACAAUCAGCGAAAGCUGGAUGCAGCGACGCCGCGUGGGCGAUGAAGGCCUUCGGGUCGUAAAGCCCUUUUAUGGGGGAAGAGACAAGGACGGUACCC